rnacentral:rRNA from 1 species
AUUGAACGCUGGCGGCAUGCCUUACACAUGCCAGUCGAACGGUAACAGGUCUUCGGAUGCUGACGAGUGGCGAACGGGUGAGUAAUACAUCGGAACGUGCCCGAUCGUGGGGGAUAACGAGGCGAAAGCUUUGCUAAUACCGCAUACGAUCUACGGAUGAAAGCGGGGGAUCUUCGGACCUCGCGCGGACGGAGCGGCCGAUGGCAGAUUAGGUAGUUGGUGGGAUAAAAGCUUACCAAGCCGACGAUCUGUAGCUGGUCUGAGAGGAUGAUCAGCCACACUGGGACUGAGACACGGCCCAGACUCCUACGGGAGGCAGCAGUGGGGAAUUUUGGACAAUGGGCGAAAGCCUGAUCCAGCCAUGCCGCGUGCAGGAUGAAGGCCUUCGGGUUGUAAACUGCUUUUGUACGGAACGAAAAGCCUCUUUCUAAUAAAGAGAGGUCAUGACGGUACCGUAAGAAUAAGCACCGGCUAACUACGUG